AGAAUCAACGCUGGCGGCGUGCCUAACACAUGCAAGUCGAACGAGAAAGUGGAGCAAUCCAUGAGUACAGUGGCGACCGGGUGAGUAACACGUGACCAAUCUACCUUCGAGUGGGGGAUAACUCCGGGAAACCGGGGCUAAUACCGCAUAACAUCUUUGGAAUGCAAAUUCCGUUGAUCAAAGGAGCAAUUCGCUUGAAGAGGAGGUCGCGGCUGAUUAGCUAGUUGGCGGGUAAUGGCCCACCAAGGCGAAGAUCGGUAUCCGGCCUGAGAGGGCGCGACGGACGACGACUGGAACUGAACACGGUCCAGACUCCUACGGGAGGCAGCAGUGGGGAAUUUUGCGCAAUGGGGGAAACCCUGACGCAGCAACGCCGCGUGGAGGAUGAAGUCCCUUGGGACGUAAACUCCUUUCGACCAAGACGAUAAUGACGGUACUGGUGGAAGAAGCACCGGCUAACUCUGUGCCAGCAGCCGC
rnacentral:rRNA from 1 species